rnacentral:rRNA from 1 species
ACGCACGCUGGCGGCGUGCUUCACACAUGCAAGUCGAACGGAAAGGCCCUGCUUUUGUGGGGUGCUCGAGUGGCGAACGGGUGAGUAACACGUGAGUAACCUGCCCUUGACUUUGGGAUAACUUCAGGAAACUGGGGCUAAUACCGGAUAGGAGCUCCUGCUGCAUGGUGGGGGUUGGAAAGUUUCGGCGGUUGGGGAUGGACUCGCGGCUUAUCAGCUUGUUGGUGGGGUAGUGGCUUACCAAGGCUUUGACGGGUAGCCGGCCUGAGAGGGUGACCGGCCACAUUGGGACUGAGAUACGGCCCAGACUCCUACGGGAGGCAGCAGUGGGAAAUAUUGCACAAUGGGCGGAAGCCUGAUGCAGCAACGCCGCGUGCGGGAUGACGGCCUUCGGGUUGUAAACCGCUUUCGCCUGUGACGAAGCGUGAGUGACGGUAAUGGGUAAAGAAGCACCGGCUAACUACGUG